GAAGCCCCAGUAAACGGCGGCCGUAACUAUAACGGUCCUAAGGUAGCGAAAUUCCUUGUCGGGUAAGUUCCGACCCGCACGAAAGGCGUAACGAUUUGGGCACUGUCUCAACGAGAGACUCGGUGAAAUCAUAGUACCUGUGAAGAUGCAGGUUACCCGCGACAGGACGGAAAGACCCCGUGGAGCUUUACUGUAGCCUGAUAUUGAAAUUCGGCACAGCUUGUACAGGAUAGGUAGGAGCCUUUGAAACGUGAGCGCUAGCUUACGUGGAGGCGCUGGUGGGAUACUACCCUAGCUGUGUUGGCUUUCUAACCCGCACCACUUAUCGUGGUGGGAGACAGUGUCAGGCGGGCAGUUUGACUGGGGCGGUCGCCUCC
rnacentral:rRNA from 1 species